CUUCACUUGGCUAAGAACUUGCCUUCUGCCUUUUAGUAUUUGAAUGAUUAUGUCCCACUCUUGUUUCUCUUUCUCUCUUUAGUUUCUAUUUUGUUCCUACUUUCAAGCUGUUAUUUGGAGGUUUUAUGAGCCAACUGAAAUCUUAUAAGCCAACUGAAAUCCUUCUUGGAACCAGGUGUUCAUUCCAUACCCAUCAACGACGACAAAAACGACAAAAACGGCUUAAACAGGAUGGCAGUUUGCUUCUCUCCUAUGAAGGAGGUACUGAGAUUGGACAAUGCGAGGCCCGUAUGGAAGCUGCGUUGGUAACAGCAGGGGCCAGGCUCUUUCUCCCUGAGGCAACAUGAUGAGCCUCUGACUCCCUCAAGUUCCGAGAUGGGUGCCCAGGCUUCAGCCGUCAGCUCGCCGCUCCAGUCACAACGGAGGAAGGGGAAGCGUGCUCAGACCCAAUUAACCACCUCCAGCCUGGAAACUUCCUGGAAGUUUAGGCUCCUUAAAACUUCCUGCCUUACUACUCGAGAAGCUGACUUCCUGCUUCUCAGAGUCACUGACCCACCCUCAUGGCAAGAGUUGGCCUGUGCCUCUGAAGUCACUGCCGGACCCGAGUGAAAAUUACAAGCUUAAGACAGAAACAAACUGUCACUUCCUUGCAAAUCAAACACCGAAGGAGCAAAGCACAAGUUCAAAGGUCAGUACUGACGUUACCAAAAUGUUUUCUUUGCUAUAUAUUUUAAUCAUGCAAGUAUAACUGGAGAUUUAUAAUAAAUACACUAUAGUUAAGAGUUUUGUUUUUAGA
rnacentral:lncRNA from 1 species